UCGGGUGUGGUGUAUGGCGCACGCUCCCUUGUGUUCAACGCUCCAAAGACGACGGAAGGGAGAGAUCCGGGUUCGAUUCCCGGCGCCCGAG